AUGUGCUCACACAUGGGCUGUCGAGAAUACUGCAUAGCUAGGGAGUGGGAGAGGUAGACGGUACUCUGGAGGAAGUGGUAAAAUGCUUUGAUCUCUAGAUGACCACCAGUGGCGAAGGCGGUCUACCAGAACACGUCCGACGGUGAGGGAUGAAAGCUGGGGGAGCAAACCGGAUUAGAUACCCGGGUAGUCCCAGCUGUAAACUAUGCAAACUCAGUGAUGCAUUGGCUUGUGGCCAGUGCAGUGCCGCAGAGAAGUCGUUAAGUUUGCCGCCUGGGGAGUACGUACGCAAGUAUGAAACUUAAAGGAAUUGGCGGGGGAGCACCACAAGGGGUGAAGCCUGCGGUUCAAUUGGAGUCAACGCCAGAAAUCUUACCCGGAGAGACAGCAGAAUGAAGGUCAAGCUGAAGACUUUACCAGACAAGCUGAGAAGUGGUGCAUGGCCGUCGCCAGCUCGUGCCGUGAGGUGUCCUGUUAAGUCAGGUAACGAGCGAGAUCCCUACCUCUAGUUGCCACCAUUACUCUCAGGAGUAGUGGGGCGAAUUAGCGGGACUGCCGCAGUUAAUGCGGAGGAAGGAGGGGGCCACGGCAGGUCAGUAUGCCCCGAAAA
rnacentral:rRNA from 1 species